UACGUAGGUGGCGAGCGUUAUCCGGAUUUAUUGGGCGUAAAGCGUGCGCAGGCGGUUUGUUAGGUCUAAAAUUAAAGUCCGAAGCUUAACUUCGGUUCGUUUUAGAAACCGGCAGGCUUGAGUAUGGUAGAGGCAAACGGAAUUUCUAGUGUAGCGGUAAAAUGCGUAGAUAUUAGAAGGAACACCAGUGGCGAAGGCGGUUUGCUGGGCCAUUACUGACGCUCAUGCACGAAAGCGUGGGGAGCAAAUAGG
rnacentral:rRNA from 1 species